GACGAACGCUGGCGGCGUGCUUAACACAUGCAAGUCGAACGGAAAGGCCUCUUUCGGGGGGUACUUGAGUGGCGAACGGGUGAGUAACACGUGAGUAACCUGCCCUUGACUUUGGGAUAACUUCAGGAAACUGGGGCUAAUACCGGAUAGGAGCUCCUGCUGCAUGGUGGGGGUUGGAAAGUUUCGGCGGUUGGGGAUGGACUCGCGGCUUAUCAGCUUGUUGGUGGGGUAGUGGCUUACCAAGGCUUUGACGGGUAGCCGGCCUGAGAGGGUGACCGGCCACAUUGGGACUGAGAUACGGCCCAGACUCCUACGGGAGGCAGCAGUGGGGAAUAUUGCACAAUGGGUGGAAGCCUGAUGCAGCAACGCCGUGUGCGGGAGGACGGCCUUCGGGUUGUAAACCGCUUUCGCUCAUGACGAAGCUUUGUGUGACGGUAGUGGGUAAAGAAGCACCGGCUAACUACGUG
rnacentral:rRNA from 1 species